CCUACGGGUGGCUGCAGUGGAGAAUAUUGGACAAUGGGGGCAACCCUGAUCCAGCCAUGCCGCGUGUGUGAAGAAGGCCCUCGGGUUGUAAAGCACUUUCAGUGAGGAAGAACGCCUGGUGGUUAAUACCCAUCAGGAAAGACAUCACUCACAGAAGAAGCACCGGCUAACUCCGUGCCAGCAGCCGCGGUAAUACGGAGGGUGCGAGCGUUAAUCGGAAUUACUGGGCGUAAAGCGCGCGUAGGUGGCUUGAUAAGCCGGUUGUGAAAGCCCCGGGCUCAACCUGGGAACGGCAUCCGGAACUGUCAAGCUAGAGUGCAGGAGAGGAAGGUAGAAUUCCCGGUGUAGCGGUGAAAUGCGUAGAGAUCGGGAGGAAUACCAGUGGCGAAGGCGGCCUUCUGGACUGACACUGACACUGAGGUGCGAAAGCGUGGGUAGCAAACAGGAUUAGAUACCCUUGUAGUC
rnacentral:rRNA from 1 species